GGACACCUGAGACAUUAACAGAACAUUCCCACAUGGUACUAUUUUGGUUAUAUCAUAACGUUCCCAAUAUGACUGUAGCGGGACGUUCCAUGUUGGUUAUCCUGUGGUCACAUAAGAACGUUACAGAGAGGACAUUUGGAACAUUUACAGAACCAUCCUACAUGGUCCUCUGUUGGUCAUAUAAUAAUGUUCCAGAUAUGACUUUAGGGGGACGUCCCAUAUUGGUUAUUCUGUGGUCACAUGGCAACGUUACAAAGAGGACAUUUGGAACAUUAUUAGAAUGUUCUCACAUGGUCCUCUGUUGGUCAUUUAAUAAUGUUCCUGAUAUCACUAGGAGGACAAAAUAUGAAAUUACAGUUAGAGCAUUUUAUUUUUAUAGGCAGUUAAUACAAAGGAUGUGUCAAUGUGCAGUGGACCAUACAAACAAAGUAAUAAAUAAAUGAUUUCAGAAUGAAGAAAAAUAAACGAGUGAUUCAGUCUGCACUAUCCUACAUCAGACAAAGACAAAUAGCAAUUAAAUAAGACUUUACAUUAAAUUGUGUUAACAAGCACAAAAAUACUAGUAAGUAAUACUAUACUAAUAUGAAUUAUGUUGUACUCUCUGAAUAUGAUGAUGUAGAAGGCAAUGCAUCUUGGAAACAGUAGUCCGUUACCAGCAACAGCGUUCAAUCCGCUUUAUGAAAAGGACUACCUUACCCAUAAUGCUACAGCUUACAAAAGGACCCGGAAGUCGCAUGAAAUUCAAACUGCCACACUUGACGACGCGUGAUCUUUGUUUUGUCUUUAUAUAAUACUGUAAGAAGUCAUGUACCACACAUUGUCAAACCUGAAGAAGUGUAUCUUCCUGCAAUCUGGGCUCCAGACCUGGAGAUUGAAGUUCCUAAAGGUUGAUGUUUAUCAAGCUUGUGACCUUAUUGCAUGGUGUUAUUUUUUUACAUUUAUAUAUCUAAUACACAUUUGCACAUCUGUAAACAUAAAUUUAAUAUUUUGUGGGUUAUUUUUAAAUUUUAUUUAACCAGUUGUUGUAUAUUGAAAUCUGUUAUUACAUGUUAUGCACUCCAACUGUAAAUGUUUUGUUUUAAUUGCAUCUUUAUUGUUUUAAACAAUUUAAUUAAUGUGGGUUUUUGUUAGCUUUUAUGUUAUUCUUGUAUUUUUUGGCUAUUUAUU